rnacentral:lncRNA from 1 species
AAGGGGCUCACAGCUGCUGGGCUGUGAACAAGCUGGACUUGGCUGUCUCACAACUGAAGAGGCAUUGAAGGGCAGGCUGGCGAUCCAGGCAAAGGGAACUGGGAGGAUUUCUUCCACUGGGACUGUCCCAAGAAAACCCUGGACCAACCCUGUCUCAGGCAGGUCAGAGCUCCAAGAUGGCUCAGCAGGAAAAGGUGUCUAUCACCAAGACUGACAGCUCAACCUGGGGCUCAGGCUGUAGAAGGAGAAAGCUGACUCUUGAAAGUUGUCCUGUGACAUAUAGCAUCACACACACACACACACACACACACACACACACCCGCGCAGCUGACUCUUGAAAGUUGUCCUGUGACAUAUAGCAUCACACACACACACACCCGCGCCUAGGCUCUUUAACCACAGAGAUAGAAACAAGGCCGGAGGGUGGGGUACCUCCUCUGUGUUCAUGUCUUCUCAGUGGCUCUGACCCUGCUCUGUACUCUUCUAUCUGGUCUCGGUCUUUUAACAUUCACUUCUGCUGUGUCACUUUCCUGGCCAGACAACUUUAGGGACCCUCCACCCCCUCCCCCAGCCCCUAUUCUGAGGAAUAGAUUCCAGCUCCCACACCUUCCAUGC